GGAAUUCCUUCGCUAGUAUGACCUACCUAAGUUUAUUUGGUAUUUAAUUGGUCGGUCAGAAUAUAGGGAUAAUAUGUUACAUGUCAAUUAACCUUUGUUUUGAGGUAGUAUCUGAAAAUGACAUCCGAGAAUGUUGAGAAUAGCAAUGGAGCACAUGAGAAUGUUAAUUCUCCGUAGAUCAAUAAUCAGGACAAUGUGCAACAUGAUGGCGAUAAUCCUCUUGUAAAGAACAACACUGAUCAAUUGACGAACGACGGUAUGUUUAGGUGUUUUUUAGAAUUCAUGCAACAUCAGGCAAAGGCGGCUCCUGUUCAUAAUUCAGGAGGAAACAAUGGCAACCCACGGUUGGUCACCGCUAAGCAAUUCAAGGAGCUGGGACCACCGUAGUUCUUGG
rnacentral:lncRNA from 1 species